ensembl:lncRNA
CGCGAAGAGGAAGUGAGGUGGAGCUGCGGACUGGAUCUCAGCCGCUCGCUGCCUCUGGCGGUCUCAGCUCGCUGCGGAGAAAAGCACGUGCCUCUCACUGUCGUGGUUUGACUCGUACUUUGGGCAGUAGAGCCAAUAACCCAAACAGCUGAGAUCAUAGUUAAGACCACCCAGCCGAUUCAGGGGUGGCUGAAAGAUCUGACUGACCUUCCUAAGAUGAGGGUGGCCCAAGCACAAAUGGUGGCACAAUGGGUUGUCUAUCUCAGCCAGAGGAGUAGUCUACAUCACCAUUAAAAGAAGAACUUCAGAAGAUCCUAGGCCUAGUGACGUAUCAUAGUGAUGCACCAAAGGAAACAUUGGUCGCUCCACCAGAGAAGAGUCCUGUUCAGGAGGGAAAAUAUCCUAUCCCUGAAGGUGCCUAGUACACAGAUUGGUCCACCAAGGGCAACCCGAGCAAGUGGAGAGCGUUAGCAUACCAUCCCUCCCCCGAGACAAUCUGGUUUGAUGAGGGGGAUGGUCAGAGCAGCCAAUGGGCAGAACUGCAAGCCGUGUGGAUGGUUAUAACUAAGGAACCCGGUGACGGUAUCCUGAAUAUCUGCACAGACAGCUGGGCUAUGUACCGAGGGCUCGCUCUUUGGAUUGCACAGUGGGCCACCCAAGAAUGGACUAUCCACGCCCAACCAAUCUGGUGCAAAGAUAUGUGGUUAGACAUAUGGAAUGCAGUUAAACACAGGAUUGUACAUGUCUUACCAUGUUUCUGGUCACCAACCCCUACAGUCAUGAGGAAAUGACAAAGCAGACACACUGGCCUGAGUUCGAUGGAUUGAGACUUCACCAUCUGAGAACAUUGCCUGUUGGUUACAUCAGAAGCUACGGCAUGCUGGACAAAAGACAAUGUGGGCAGCUGCUAAAGCAUGGUGGCUGCCCAUACAACUAUCUGAUAUUGCCGAAGCAUGCAGAGACUGCGACACUUGCUCUAAGAUGAGACCAAGAUCAUUGCCCAAAACAACAGCCCACCUUGCUAGAGGACACAAUCCUCUCCAGUGAUGGCAGGUUGAUUACAAUGGGCCCCUCCCUCAGUCUGAGGGGGCGAGAUAUGCCCUCACCUGCGUCGAUACUGCAAGUGGGCUACUGCAGACCUAUCCAGUACCAAAAGCAAACCAGGCAUAUACCAUCAAGGCACUUACUAAGCUGAUGUCUGCCUAUGGGACACCUCAAGUCAUCGAGAGCGACCAAGGGACCCAUUUUACUGGUGCAAUGAUACAAUGCUGGGCAGAAGAAAACAACAUUGAGUGGCGAUUCCAUGUGGCAUAUCAUCCAAUGGGGGCAGGCCUCAUUGAACAUUAUAACGGUAUUCUUAAGGCUGCCCCUUGAAGACAGACUCCCAGUCCUUGCAGGGGUGGACAAAAAGACACUAUGAAACCCUGCGGGACCUGAAUGAAAGACCUUGAGACAGCAGACUCAGUGCCCUGAAAAUGCUACAGACAACGUGGGCCUCCCCGCUUCAGAUCCAAAUUACGGGCACUGAUAAUCAGGUUGGUAACUGACCCCAGAUUGGUAAUGAGAAUAAUCUUCUGCUCCCUGCCCCUGAGAAUCUAGAUCCAGGUACCCAUAGAAUAAAAUGGCCUUGGAAGGUGCAGGUAGGACCAAAGUGGUGUGGCCUACUUGCACCUUGGGGACGAUUAUUGGAGAUGGGAGGCUCAGUAGUCCCUCCGGUAAUGGGUACACGGCCUAUGGAUAUUGUGGUCAACACUCUGGUCUUCAUUGCUAAAGGAACCCCCAUCAUAUCCCUAUGGCAGAUCAGGACACCCCCUUUGGUGCCUGAUACAAUUCUGCAGCCGCAGACAUCUGGAAAGAAGUAAUGGUACAGGCAGCCGGGGCAUGCCCCAGUACAAGCCAAAGUGUUGACCCAGGAUAGAAAUAUGGCCUGUAUCUUGCCCUGGAGGGCAAACCCUCCCCUCCUGGUACCCCUGAAACAUCUGUAUUACUCCCCGUGAGUCUUUGAGGCUGUAGAAUCACUGGAAGGAACUAAAUGUCAUCAAAGCGUUCCAGUGUUGCUGUCAGAUCAUGUGCGACACUCAGUGAUGGUCUGCCUGGGACUGAUGGAGUACAGAAUGGACCUGGACCUCAUGACUACAUACCUCCCAUAACAUCAUCGAGCACUGGCCCAUGAAAGAACAUAAACUUUCACCAAUCACUACUUGUCUUAAAUUGUGUCAACAUACAUUGUGAUGGGAAAUUGUAGUAGGAAAGACUCACCCUUUAGUUAACUCAAUCACUGGUUCACUCUGUGAAGGGGUGGAGUGUAUGGGAACUGUUGAGUCACAGCCUGAACCUCUGACUGAUCACCUGAGGUGAGCACUGAGUCAGCCGCGGGAGCACAGGUGAAAGCAAUUCACCUGUGUGACUGAAAGGGGUGUAGCCUGGCUCCACCUCUCCUAGACCCCAUUUAAGAGCUGAGUGCCACUGAGGAAGGAUCUUUUUCUGGAGAUUGCACCUGUUGGAGUUUUUUUUCUGUGAGCCUACAACGUGGUUGAGCAUUUUUCCAUCUGUUUCAGAUUAUCCUUUUCCAAUGUAGUAAUCUUUCUAGCUUUACGAUCUGUGGAUACCCAUCUGACCAUGCUGUUUUGUGUAUUUGUUGAUUAUGCAACAGCAUUCUGUGUAUUUGGUGAUUCUACAGUACUACAAGGGAAUUUGAUGCUGGGGGAGUGUAGUCAGUGAUUCCAUAUAUACACAUAUAUAUACUAUACAUAUAUAGAUAUAUAUAUAUAUGUAUAUAGAUAUGUACAUAUUUAAUGCAUGUUAAUUACUGUUUUGUUUGUAUAUAGAUAUAAGUUAAG